UCGAGAACAAGCCUACAGGAUGUAGACACGGGCGGCCUAGCCUAACACAUCCCAUAGUGAGUGCGGUCCGCCCCUAAAGGGGCCGAGACGUGGCAAGACAGGGUGAUGUAGUCAUGUAGCCAAUCAUCGCCUGGGAUCGGGGACCGACCUCAGGAGAUUCGGGGGUAAUACCUGCAUAAUGUCUCCGUGUCAUAAGGAACGGGGCUAAACGCUCUUGUAAGAGACCGUUUCAGGAUGAGUCCGCGUCCUAUUAGCUAGUUGGUAGGGUAACGGCCUACCAAGGCGACGAUGGGUAGCCGGUCUGAGAGGGUGAACGGCCACACUGGGAUUGAGAUACGGCCCAGACUCCUACGGGAGGCAGCA
rnacentral:rRNA from 1 species